rnacentral:rRNA from 1 species
AUUGAACGCUGGCGGCAUGCCUUACACAUGCAAGUCGAACGGUAACGGGCCUUCGGGUGCCGACGAGUGGCGAACGGGUGAGUAAUGUAUCGGAACGUACCUUUCAGUGGGGGAUAACGUAGCGAAAGUUACGCUAAUACCGCAUAUUCUGUGAGCAGGAAAGCAGGGGAUCGCAAGACCUUGCGCUGAUUGAGCGGCCGAUAUCAGAUUAGCUAGUUGGUGAGGUAAAGGCUCACCAAGGCGACGAUCUGUAGCGGGUCUGAGAGGAUGAUCCGCCCAACUGGAACUGAGACACGGUCCAGACUCCUACGGGAGGCAGCAGUGGGGAAUUUUGGACAAUGGGGGCAACCCUGAUCCAGCCAUGCCGCGUGAGUGAAGAAGGCCUUCGGGUUGUAAAGCUCUUUCGGCCGGGAAGAAAUCGUAUCAGCUAAUACCUGGUGCGGAUGACGGUACCGGCAUAAGAAGCACCGGCUAACUACGUGCCAGCAGCCGCAGUAAAAC